rnacentral:rRNA from 1 species
AAAUUGAAGAGUUUGAUCAUGGCUCAGAUUGAACGCUGGCGGCAGGCCUAACACAUGCAAG